AUGGGCAACUCUCUGAUGAAGUAAGGGGACAAGCAGCAGGGAGAUAAUACACCCUUGUACACUGAUGCGGGGGAUACUAAUCCCCACUCUGGACUGGCAAUGAUGAAUGAGAUUCCUGGGCUAUGUGGAGGUGUAUUGAGCACGAGUACCGAAGUUUGUCAACAAUGACUCGGCAGAAUGGAUGCAAAUGCCCAGCCAAGUGUCAAGACUGGCCACCAACAGAUAGCAGCACACUGGCCAGCAAGCUGUGCAGUGAUGUCAGAGAGCACUGAGGCACAUGUGCUCUCGCAGAUGUGCCGG